rnacentral:rRNA from 1 species
CCUACGGGGGGCUGCAGUGGGGAAUUUUGGACAAUGGGCGAAAGCCUGAUCCAGCCAUGCCGCGUGAGUGAAGAAGGCCUUCGGGUUGUAAAGCUCUUUCGCAAGGAAAGAAAACUUAGCUACUAAUACUAGUUGAGGAUGACGGUACCUUGAUAAGAAGCACCGGCUAACUACGUGCCAGCAGCCGCGGUAAUACGUAGGGUGCGUGCGUUAAGUGGAAUUACCGGGGGCGAAUCGUGAGGAGGCGGGUGAAAUCCCCGGGCUCAACCUGGGAACUGCGUUUGAAACUACAAGGCUAGAGUGUAGAAGAGGGGGGUAGAAUUCCACGUGUAGCAGUGAAAUGCGUAGAGAUGUGGAGGAAUACCGAUGGCGAAGGCAGCCCCCUGGGCUAACACUGACGCUCAUGCACGAAAGCGUGGGGAGCAAACAGGAUUAGAUACCCCAGUAGUC